rnacentral:rRNA from 1 species
UACAGAGGUCUCAAGCGUUGUUCGGAUUCAUUGGGCGUAAAGGGUGCGUAGGUGGCGUCGUAAGUCAGGUGUGAAAUUUCGGAGCUUAACUCCGAAACUGCAUUUGAUACUGCGGUGCUUGAGGACUGGAGAGGAGACUGGAAUUUACGGUGUAGCAGUGAAAUGCGUAGAGAUCGUAAGGAACACCGGUGGCGAAGGCGGGUCUCUGGGCCGAUACUGACGCUGAGGAGCGAAAGCGUGGGGAGCGAACAGG